rnacentral:misc_RNA from 1 species
GAUGAAGAACGUAGCGAAAUGCGAUACGUAAUGUGAAUUGCAGAAUUCAGUGAAUCAUCGAGUCUUUGAACGCACAUUGCGCCCCCUGGUAUUCCGGGGGGCAUGCCUGUCCGAGCGUCAUUGCUGCCCUCAAGCUCGGCUUGUGUGUUGGGCCUCCGCCCCCCGGCUCCCGGGGGGCGGGCCCGAAAGGCAGCGGCGGCACCGCGUCCGGUCCUCGAGCGUAUGGGGCUUCGUCACCCGCUCCGUAGGCCCGGCCGGCGCCCGCCGGCGACCCCCCUCAAUCUUUCCAGGUUGACCUCGGAUCAGGUAGGGAUACCCGCUGAACUUAAGCAUAUCAAUAAGCGGAGGA